rnacentral:rRNA from 1 species
GAUGAACGCUGGCGGCGUGCUUAACACAUGCAAGUCGAACGAACAGGCCCAGCUUUUUGGGUGGUUUAGUGGGGAACGGGUGUGUGACACGCGAGUGACCUGCCCUUAUCUCUGGGAUAAGCCUGGGAGACAGGGCCUAAUACCGGACAGAUGAGCUUAUCGCCCGGUGGGUGUUGGAGAGAUUUAGCGGUUUUGGGUGGCUUCGCGGCUUAUCAGCUUUUUGGUGAGGGGUUGGUACACCAAGGCGACGACGGGUAGCCGGCCUGAGAGGGUGACCGGCCACACUGGGACUGAGACACGGCCCAGACUCCUACGGGAGGCAGCAGUGGGGAAUAUUGCACAAUGGGCGAAAGCCUGAUGCAGCGACGCCGCGUGAGGGAUGACGGCCUUCGGGUUGUAAACCUCUUUCAGUAGGGAAGAAGCGAAAGUGACGGUACCUGCAGAAGAAGCACCGGCUAACUACGUG